CGGGGUGUGGCGCAGCCCGGUUAGCGCGCUUCGUUCGGAACGAAGAGGCCGGAGGUUCAAAUCCUCUCACCCCGACCA
rnacentral:tRNA from 2 species